rnacentral:rRNA from 1 species
AUUGAACGCUGGCGGCAUGCCUUACACAUGCAAGUCGAACGGUAACGGGUCUUCGGAUGCUGACGAGUGGCGAACGGGUGAGUAAUACAUCGGAACGUGCCCAGACGUGGGGGAUAACGAGGCGAAAGCUUUGCUAAUACCGCAUACGAUCUAAGGAUGAAAGCAGGGGACCGCAAGGCCUUGCGCGUUUGGAGCGGCCGAUGGCAGAUUAGGUAGUUGGUGGGAUAAAAGCUUACCAAGCCGACGAUCUGUAGCUGGUCUGAGAGGACGACCAGCCACACUGGGACUGAGACACGGCCCAGACUCCUACGGGAGGCAGCAGUGGGGAAUUUUGGACAAUGGGCGAAAGCCUGAUCCAGCAAUGCCGCGUGCAGGAUGAAGGCCUUCGGGUUGUAAACUGCUUUUGUACGGAACGAAAAGGCUCUGGCUAAUACCUGGGGCACAUGACGGUACCGUAAGAAUAAGCACCGGCUAACUACGUG